GAUGAACGCUGGCGGCGUGCCUAAUACAUGCAAGUCGAACGGAAGGACGAGACGCUUGCUUCUCUCAUGUUAGCGGCGGACGGGUGAGUAACACGUGGAUACCCUACCUAUAAGACUGGGAUAACUUCGGGAAACCGGAGAUAAUCCGGGAUAAUAUUUUGAACCGCAUUGUUCAAAGGUGAAAGACGGUCUUUCGGUCUCUUAUCGAUGCUUCCCGGCUGCAUUAGCUAGUUGGUAAGGUAAAGGGCUACCAAGGCAACGAGGCAUAGCCGACCGGAGAGGGUGAUCGGCCACACUGGAAGGGAGACACGGUCCAGACUACUACGGGAGGGAGCAGUAGGGAAUGUUCCGCAACGGGCGAAAGCCUGACGGAGCAACGCCGCGUGAGUGAUGAAGGUCUUCGGAUCGUAAAACUCUGUUAUUAGGGAAGAACAUAUGUGUAAGUAACUGUGCACAUCUUGACGGUACCUAAUCAGAAAGCCACGGCUAACUACGUG
rnacentral:rRNA from 1 species